rnacentral:rRNA from 1 species
AUUGAACGCUGGCGGCAGGCCUAACACAUGCAAGUCGAACGAGUGGCGGACGGGUGAGUAAUGUCUGGGAAACUGCCUGAUGGAGGGGGAUAACUACUGGAAACGGUAGCUAAUACCGCAUACCAUCAGAUGUGCCCAGAUGGGAUUAGCUAGUUGGUGGGGUAACGGCUCACCAAGGCGCCGAUCCCUAGCUGGUCUGAGAGGAUGACCAGCCACACUGGAACUGGGACACGGGCCAGAAGUCUACGGGAGGCAGCAGGGGGGAAUAUUGGACAAUGGGCGAAAGCCUGAUGCAGCCAUGCCGCGGGGAUGAAGAAGGCCUUCGGGGUGUAAAGUACUUUAAGCGGGGAGGCGUUACCCGCAGAAGAAGCACCGGCUAACUCCGUGCCAGCAGCCGCGGUAAUAC